GGCUUUAAAGAGAUGCUCCAGCAUCAAGCAAUGUACAUAUGUAUGUAGCAGUCAUGUUGGCUUCCGUGAUCAAUUCUUCUUGCGUUGAUGUGUCUUUUCACGACACAAUUGGAACAUGCUGAUCAACUUGCUGCUGCUGGAAGUCUCCAUCCUAUUACCUCAUCCUGGAUGGUGUACCAAGGACAGCAUAUGAAGGAGCAGUAAUCUCCCGGUAUUCACCACCACGGCAUGUGUUUCUAGUGGGUCCGGAUUCUUUCAGGCUGCUUGGGAUCAAACGUGUUUGAUGCAUUGAAGUGAGGUUCCACGGCGCU